rnacentral:misc_RNA from 1 species
UCAAACUUGGUCAUUUAGAGGAAGUAAAAGUCGUAACAAGGUUUCCGUAGGUGAACCUGCGGAAGGAUCAUUAAAAAAGAUCGAACCAAAAACAUAUGGACGAUCAAAAUCCAUAUCCACCUUGUGUGCACUUAUUGACCGUUCGCUUUGGCAGGAGUUUGGUUCCUUUGGGAUAUCCCAAAGUGGGCCGCGAAAGGGGGUGUUUCGCCCUCGGCCUGCCAGAGUUUUUUUCAAGAUCCACACUUUUUUUAAAACCUUUUUGACUGAACCCUCGUCUCGAUUCUUUGUGUAAUCGGUCGAAUCUAAUACAACUUUCAACAACGGAUCUCUUGGCUCUCGCAUCGAUGAAGAACGCAGC